CCUACGGGUGGCAGCAGUAGGGAAUCUUUCACAAUGGGCGAAAGCCUGAUGGAGCAACGCCGCGUGCAGGAUGAAGGCCUUCGGGUUGUAAACUGCUUUUAUAAGCGAGAAAUAUGAUGGUAACUUAUGAAAAAGCAUCGGCUAACUCCGUGCCAGCAGCCGCGGUAAUACGGAGGAUGCGAGCGUUAUCCGGAUUCAUUGGGUUUAAAGGGUGCGCAGGCGGGCCUUUAAGCCGGCGGUGAAAUCGCGGGGCUCAACCCCGCCGAGCCGUCGGAACUGGGGGCCUUGAGUGCGGCGGAGGCAUGCGGAAUGCGCGGUGUAGCGGUGAAAUGCAUAGAUAUCGCGCAGAACCCCGAUUGCGAAGGCAGCGUGCCGUGCCGCCACUGACGCUGAGGCACGAAAGCGCGGGGAUCGAACAGGAUUAGAUACCCAGUAGUC
rnacentral:rRNA from 1 species